rnacentral:rRNA from 1 species
AUGGCUUAAAAAAGAGCCUCGAGACGGAAUAUCGUCGCGACAAGUGGUGGUUAAGAGGCCUCGGUCUUAGAACUUAGCAUGUCGCAACCCUUCCGCUCUAGUGCUUUUAAAAACCUUAGCGAAGCGUGUCCAUGACGCCUUCAGCAUCGUGACCCCAGGUCAGGCGGGACUACCCGCUGAU